CUGGGGUCUCGGGCAAGAUGGCUGCCAAAACUUUUGCCUCCCGCUUUCGAGGCUCCCGACGCUUUUUGAGUGGCUUCGUGGCUGGAGCCGUCGCGGGCGCUAUGGGAACCGGGCUAACUGUCGUGCAGUUCCUCCGGAGUCAGGACUCUGGGCCAGCGUUGGCGGUGAGGGAGCCGGACGGUUCUGCAGAAAGGACUCUCUUAGAACAAUUUGGAUUCCCUUUAACUGGAACAGAGACGAGGUGCUACACUAACCAUGCCUUGUCUUAUGAUCAGUCAAAGCGGGUGCCUAGAUGGGUUCUUGAACAUAUAUCCAAGAGCAAGAUAACGGGUUUAUUUGUACAAAUAGCACAGGAGGACACCAGCACCAUGCAGACAGCAGCCAGGGGUCACACCAGUCCUUCUGUCCUCACAUUGGCAGAUAAAGGUGAUGCAGACAGAAAACAUUGUAAAUUCAAGCCAGAUCCCAGCAUCCCUCCAACCUUCAGUGCCUUCAACGAGGACUAUGUUGGCAGUGGGUGGUCACGAGGACACAUGGCUCCAGCAGGAGAUAACAAAUUCUCAUCUAAAGCCAUGGCUGAAACCUUUUACCUUUCUAAUAUCGUGCCUCAGAAUUUUGAUAAUAAUGCUGGUUAUUGGAACAGAAUAGAAAUGUACUGUCGAGAACUGACAGAGAGGUUUGAGGACAUCUGGAUAGUAUCUGGACCGCUGACCUUACCUCAGACUGGAAGCAAUGGAAGGAAAACGGUUAGUUACCAGGUGAUCGGCGAGGACAAUGUUGCGGUGCCCUCCCACCUCUACAAGGUGAUCCUGGCACGCAGAAGCCCGAGGUCUGCUGAGCCCCUGGCACUAGGGGCCUUCGUGGUGCCCAACAAGGCCAUUGGCUUCCAGCCCCAAUUAAGUGAGUUCCAGGUGAGCCUGCAGGAGCUGGAGAAGUUGUCAGGACUGGUGUUUUUCCCUCAUCUGGAUAGGACUAGUGACAUCAAGAACAUCUGCUCGGUGGACACCUGUAAGCUCCUGGAUUUCAGGGAGUUCACUCUGUACCUGAGCACAAGAAAGAUUGAGGGAGCCCGAUCGGUACUCAGACUGGAAAAGGUCAUGGAAAAUUUGCGGAAUGCAGGCAUUGAACCUGAUGAGGACUUCAUGACUCGCUACGAGAAGAAGCUGGAAGAACUCAAAGCUCAGGAGCAGUCAGAAGUCCUGGAGAGAAAACCCUCGUAGUUCACCUCUCAGAAGCGUGAUGUCAUCUGUAAUGAAGCAGGUGUGGCCUCUUCAGAUACUGUAUUUUAGUGGCUUUGUUUUAAAAUGAUGGAAUCCUAAAUUUCAGACUAAAUUUCUCCCCAAAAGAUGUCAAAUGUUUUGGUUGGUAUUUUAUUUGACGUGGGAAACUAAGGAAACUGUUAACGCCUGCAGAUCACGGGCUGGUCUUGUGUCAAGUUGACAGGAGGGCUGUGUCUGCGGGAUGACGCUGUGUGCGUGUCCCUCUAGAUGUAUUGUAUGUGAAGGCGUUAUUAUUUUCUGCCUCCAAAUCGUACAGUGUCUUUGAUGUAUCUGCUCAGCUUUCUUGGGACCCAAGAUUGUACGUGUUCUUUCCCUGGGAUUUGAGCUGGUCUUAGAGAUGGCUCUCAGAUAACCUCUAUGCAUUGUCCUGACCACGUGUAUCAUAUAUUUGUUUCUUGUUCCUCCUCUCAUGGGCCUGCUGUUCCUCCUCUUCUGUUAUGCAGAAGCACUCAACAACUACAUUUUCUGCUCACUUAGUGUAUUCUCUGUACUAAGCUCAGUGCUUUACAUGUAUUAUCCUACAACUACCCUCUGAGGGAAAUACCACUAUCCUCAUUUUACCCAUGAGGAAAUUGAGGCUUAGAGAGCUGAAGUAUUUUGCCCAAGGUUCAUCUUCCCAAAGAAGUAAUCCACAAAGAAUGAGGCAUAUAACAUGGGGUACGUUAAAAUCUUCCCUGACACAGAGGCUCAAAGACAUACUUCCGUGGGUGUCUGUGAUCCUGGGGCUUGCUUGGUAAGAGGAGUCUGGUUUCUUGUCUGCAGUCGAGCCAUAGGGACUUUAAUGUCCUCUGACUUGAACUCUCCUUAGUUCUUUGGGAGGAAACAAUCACAGGUAUUUGAACGUUAGAGGAUGGUGCUUCAUGGGGUUUAUCUGAGUCCCUGCUUGCCUUCAGAAAUGCAAUUCUUCUAGUGACUGGCUGGUGCCAAAUUGUUGUGUUCCUUGCUUUCCAGAUGGGCUUUUUGUGAAUCUCUGCCCGCAGAUUCACCAGCUCAUGGCUUGCUCGCCUUUGUGCCUGCCUGUCUACCUGGUUGGCCCAAAGACCCAAAGACAGUUACCUCUGGGGGAAACAGUGGCUGUUUUUCUGAGCCAGAUCUCUAGAUUUGGGUUUACGUGGAAUCCUUUCAUGGGCUGUCAUAAGUGCAGGCAGUAAAAUAUCUUCAAAUAGAGCGUAGGAACUUGUCUGACUGUGUCCUGUCAGUACUGUCUUUCCAAGUGGUGUUACCAGAACAGUUUUUGUGGUGUUUUUGUGUUUGUCUCUAACAGAAAUGCCAAGGUGUUAAGAUAAAGGUAAGAUGAGAAUGGUUGAUCUUGUUCUGCUUUAUUUGGGUAAACAAGAAAGAAGUUGGGGGGGGUCAGAACACUUCAGCCCAAUUAAUACCGUCCUCUUUUAUCACACUGUUCCCCAUUAGCUUGUGUCAGGCUUUUUCUUCUCAGGGAGAAAGAGCCAAAAUGUCACUGUGACCAAAAAAAUCUGUUACUUUUUCUCCUUCCUGAAGAGGUGACAGUGGGGUCUGGGUGUGUUUCCAGGAGCCCGAGGGCGGCUCUGCGGGAGAGGUCCUACCACCAUCUCCAGAGUAACAUCUUUAUUUCGAGACUUCAGGCUCUUUGGUCUAUGGAUUGAGACUAUCUCACCUAUAUCGUAUGCAGCAAAGGGGGACCUUACACAAGUGGCAAAGGACUGAGAAUAGAGCCCAGCAGGAGAUACAGAGUCUGAUCUCAAGGGAAUGAAUGGCUUCCUACAGAGCUGGGCUCAGCCUGCAGCCCUGCUCUUGGAGUGACUGAGCUGACAUUCGUCCCUCACGGAACCUGGACCUCAGCCUCACCCCAGAGUGGCCGGGUGACAGCUAUGGCGGUGUGGUGACCGCAAGGCCCACUCUUGCUUCCCUCCAGAUGCACCUGACACCUCCCAGGCCACUACAGGCAGCUACAGAGACCCACACAAGGGGCCCCACACCCAGAAUCCAAGUUUUGGCUUCAAGAACAGUGAGGAGCUCCUGUACUGGCCCUUUCCAAGCGGUAGUGACCUGGAGCGUGUCAGAGGGGAGGCGUGGCCCUUUACUGUUUAUGGUAAAAUCCCAACCCCUGCAAAACCGCUUUGCUGAGUGUGCUGUCGUCCAGAGGCGGGGUGACUAAGCAAGGAGGCUGGAGGUGGGAGGCCCACCAGAACACGUGGAGACCAGAAAGAAGGUUGCAGGCCGAUAAUUUAGAGACGAACGGACCCAAUUACCGGGUUGCCUGAUGCUAGCUGUGACUGUUUUGAAAUAAUGCAGAAAGAAGAAAAAUGCAAGACCUUCACCACUUUGAUCCUUAUCACCUACCCUGGACUUCGAGCCUCAUCUGUAGGACCUCCCCUGAUCCCCCAGGGAAGGGGGUCACAGUUCUUGAGGUGUUAGCAUGCUGUAUUUUCCCCUUUCCCUGUCAAAGAUAAAGCUAUUUUUAUUUUU